UACGUAGGGUGCAAGCGUUGUCCGGAAUUAUUGGGCGUAAAGAGCUCGUAGGCGGUCUGUUACGUCCGCUGUGAAAACCCAGGGCUUAACCCUGGGCUUGCAGUGGAUACGGGUAGACUAGAGGCAGGUAGGGGAGAAUGGAAUUCCCGGUGUAGCGGUGAAAUGCGCAGAUAUCGGGAGGAACACCGGUGGCGAAGGCGGUUCUCUGGGCCUGACCUGACGCUGAGGAGCGAAAGCGUGGGGAGCGAACAGG
rnacentral:rRNA from 1 species